rnacentral:rRNA from 1 species
GGUCAACGCUGGCGGCGUGCCUAAAACAUGCAAGUCGAACGGGCAGGCUCCUUCGGGAGGUUGUCAGUGGCGAACGGCUGAGUAACACGUGGGUGACCUACCCGGAAGUGGGGAACAACUGUCCGAAAGGGCGGCUAAUACCGCAUAGGUCCUGUUCUUCGGUGGGCAGGGCAAAGCUCCCUUGGGAGCGCUUCCAGAUGGGCCCGCGCCCGAUUAGCUAGCUGGUGAGGUAAUGGCUUACCAGGGCGACGAUCGGUAGCUGGUCUCAGAGGAUGAUCAGCCAGACUGGGACUGAGACACGGCCCAGACUCCUACGGGAGGCAGCAGUUAGGAAUUUUGGGUCAAUGGGCGAAAGACCUGACCCAGCAACGCCGCGUGCGGGAAGAAGGCCUU